AUUGAACGCUGGCGGCAUGCCUUACACAUGCAAGUCGAACGGCAGCACGGGAGCAAUCCUGGUGGCGAGUGGCGAACGGGUGAGUAAAGCAUCGGAACGUGCCCAGUCGUGGGGGAUAACGUAGCGAAAGCUACGCUAAUACCGCAUACGAUCUGUGGAUGAAAGCGGGGGACCGUAAGGCCUCGCGCGAUUGGAGCGGCCGAUGUCAGAUUAGGUAGUUGGUAGGGUAAAGGCUCACCAAGCCGACGAUCUGUAGCUGGUCUGAGAGGACGACCAGCCACACUGGGACUGAGACACGGCCCAGACUCCUACGGGAGGCAGCAGUGGGGAAUUUUGGACAAUGGGCGCAAGCCUGAUCCAGCAAUGCCGCGUGCAGGAUGAAGGCCUUCGGGUUGUAAACUGCUUUUGUACGGAGCGAAACGGCUUCCACUAAUACUGGGGGCUAAUGACGGUACCGUAAGAAUAAGCACCGGCUAACUACGUGCCAGCAGCCGCAGUAACAC
rnacentral:rRNA from 1 species